rnacentral:rRNA from 1 species
AGCGAACGCUGGCGGCAUGCUUAACACAUGCAAGUCGCACGGGCCUUUCGGGGUCAGUGGCGGACGGGUGAGUAUCGCGUAGGGAUUUAUCGUUGGGUGGGGGAUAACCUUGGGAAACUGGGGCUAAUACCGCAUGACGCCUGUGGGCCAAAGUUUUAGGGCGCCUGACGAGAAGCCUGCGUCCGAUUAGCUAGUUGGUGGGGUAACGGCUUACCAAGGCUUCGAUCGGUAGCUGGUCUGAGAGGAUGAUCAGCCACACU